UGGGGAAUAUUGCACAAUGGGGGAAACCCUGAUGCAGCGACGCCGCGUGAGCGAAGAAGUAUUUCGUAUGUAAAGCUCUAUCAGCAGGGAAGAAAUUGACGGUACCUGAGUAAGAAGCUCCGGCUAAAUACGUGCC
rnacentral:rRNA from 1 species